GGAGAGGUGGCCGAGUGGCUUAAGGCGGCGGUCUUGAAAACCGUUGUGGGGAAACUCACCGGGGGUUCGAAUCCCUCCCUCUCCG
rnacentral:tRNA from 1 species